rfam:Bacillus galactosidilyticus strain PL133 scaffold000112, whole genome shotgun sequence.
AUAGCCUUUAAACCGGUCCCGAGAGGCCGAAAAGGACGAAUAUAUAGAUGUGUUUCUAUAUAUCUAUGUUUUUAUGCCCUUUUGUCCUCUGUGAUAAAAGGGUAUUUAUU